GGAAAAGAAAUGAUGACUUCAACUUCCAUAAAGGAAAAAGCUGUGGUGAAAAAGGAAGAGGAGAAGAAAGCUACCAUAGAGAAACAACAUGAACAUAAGCAUGAUCCUGUUAAACAUGAAAAAACUGUUUCUCAAGCUGUUAAACAUGAAAAAACUGUUUCUCAAGCUAAGUCAGAAGAGAAAACUAAACAACAAAAGACAGCUUCCACCAAGAAAUCAGGUAGGAAUACAUUAUUCUUCCAUAGUUUAUGGGGGAAGGGGGUUAAAUACUAUUCAGAACCUCUCUAUGGUAGUACAUUUGAAUUGCAGUUAUUUUUCAGAGUAUUUUGAAAUAUGUGACUGAUAACACAUUUUUAGAGCAAAGCCAACAGCAUUUUGCAACUAAGGAGGCAGUUCUGAGUACAUUCUUUCUGAUGAUAAAGCCAGAUUAGGAUGUUUAAGCUCUGGGCUGCUUGUUCCAUCCUCUGUGUCAGAGCUGAGCUAACAAAAGGAGGUGGAGCUGGAAGGCAUUGCUAGUUUUUUUUUUCUUUAAAUUCAGAUUUUUCCAGCAACUGCAUUUACAACACAUGCCUGCAAGUAGUUCUUGUGUCACAACACGAGGAGCAGUGCACAAGCAGGGAGUGAGGCAGGAAGAUGAAUCAGCUGGAUCUUGGUUAGAUCUUAAACUGGCUUUCUCAUGGGUCAAAAGUCCUUGGAUAUUUAGGUUGCUUCUAUGAUUUAGACUUCCUUGGGUUUUGUAAUAAUAGUGCAGACAGAAAAGAUUCAAGUAACAUUGAUUAUGAUAGAAGCCCUGCAGAGUCACCUCAGGGAUUACAACAUUCUCAUCAUCACUGACUGUUUGCACAAAGCUGUUUUGAAGGCUUUCUCUAGAUAUCAACCUCUUGAUUUCUGUUGAAGCCUUGAUCCAAAGACAAAAUGAAAGAUCAUGGACAACGAUGUCAGAUCAGCAGGUUAUUAUAUGAUUUCAUGAUGAUAAUGAUAAUUUUUACAAAAUAAAAUGCUGUUUUGUCUUAAAUUGUGCUGUUUG
rnacentral:lncRNA from 1 species